GGUGUUGGUAUUGGUAGGCGAGCCGCCCUGAACAGAUGGGGGACUUUUUUUUUUUUUUGGCACUCUCCCGGCUGUGUUUUUGUUUGUUUGUUUUGAGACAGAGUCUCGCUCUGCCACCCAGGCUGGAGUGCAGUGGCGUGGCGUGAUCUCGCUCAGGUCACCUCCGCCUCCCAGGUUCAAGCGAUUCUCCCGCCUCAGCCUCCCGAGUAGCUGAGACUACAGGUGCCUGCCACCAUGCCUGACUAAUUUUUGUACUUUUAUUAGUAGAGACAGGGUUUCAUCAUACUGUUCUCAAACUCCUGACCUUGUGAUCCACCUGCCUCGGCCUCCCAAAGGGCUGGGAUUACGCGCGGGAGCCACCGCGCCUGGCCGUUCCCAGGCUGUGUUUUUGUUUGUUUGUUUGUUUUGAGACAGAGUCUCGCUGUGCCACCCAGGCUGGAGUGCAGUGGCGUGGCGUGAUCUCGCCCAGGUCAUUGUAACCUCCACCUCCCAGGUUCAAGCGAUUCUCCCGCCUCAGCCUCCCGAGUAACUGGGGUUACAGGUGCCUGCCACCAUGCCUGGCUAAUUUUUGUAUUUUUAGUAGAGACAGGGUUUCAUCAUAUUGGCCAUCAUACUGAUCUCGAACUCCUGACCUUGUGAUCCACCUGCCUCGGCCUCCCAAAGUGCUGGGAUUACGCGCGGGAGCCACCGCGCCUGGCCGUUUCCAGGCUGUUUUUAUGCGUUUUCUGGCUCUGUACUAUUUACUGGUUUGGAAGAUACUACACUGCAUGAUGUGUGACAUAUGAAAGCAAGGCCAAGGACUUUUCUUCCUUUUUUUUUUUUUUCUGGAAACAUUUUGAAAGGGAUUUUGUAAUUAUUCUUUUAGUUCUAGCUAGCAAUGAAUGGAUGAUUAGUUGGACGUGCUUGGGAAUUCUUGCUGAAUGAGGUCACCUAGCCUCAAAAACAAUCUAAAUAGGAGGUGAAUGAAUCCUCAAUUUUACGCUUAGUGAGGCUGACAUAAUAUUACCUUUCUUUUCUUUUGUAAUUGUUCUUGUGUUUUAGAAUGAGGAUAUUCCCUAGGUCUUGAAUAUUUCUGUUGGCCUGUGCAAAGACCCAAGAUCCAGACAUCAUGUCAGAAGUGCCUACAUACAGGCAUCUUUCCCAGAGGGAAGCCCACUUAGGGAACAGCAGAUGAAGUGGUGAAAUGAGAUUUCACUCUGUUGCCCAGGCUGGAGUACAGUGGUGCGAUCUCGACUCGCUGAAACCUCCACCUCUCAGGUUCAAGCUAUUCUCCUGUCUCAGCCCACCACCAUGCCCAGACCACGGGCUUCUUUGAGAGAUGAGGAAACAGUUUCACGUGCUAUGAUUGACAGUACAAACAGCGCCUCCAAGAGAUGACGCUGACUGAGGAGGAGAUGGUGACUCUGAGAGCUUCCAUCCUCACUCGGCUCCCAUCAGUAUAAUGAAAGUGGACGCCUUCCCGGUCUUCCUGCUGCCUUUCCUCCCGUCCCCUUUUCAGCACAGUGGCUAGAGGUGGUCAUCAUUCGAAACCUAAAUCAGAUCACCUUCCUCCUCACUCACAACCCUCCUUAGCAGGAGAAAUCCCGAAGUCCUAUCCCAUCUCUGUUUUCUUUUCUUCCUGACUCUCAUCACGA